rnacentral:rRNA from 1 species
GUGUCGCAGCUAACGCAUUAAGUUCCCCGCCUGGGGAGUACGGCCGCAAGGCUAAAACUCAAAGGAAUUGACGGGGGCCCGCACAAGCGGCGGAGCAUGCGGAUUAAUUCGAUGCAACGCGAAGAACCUCACCAAGGCUUGACAUAUACCGGAAACGGCUGGAAACAGUCGCCCCGCAAGGUCGGUAUACAGGUGGUGCAUGGUUGUCGUCAGCUCGUGUCGUGAGAUGUUGGGUUAAGUCCCGCAACGAGCGCAACCCUCGUCCUAUGUUGCCAGCACGUAAUGGUGGGAACUCAUGGGAUACUGCCGGGGUCAACUCGGAGGAAGGUGGGGAUGACGUCAAAUCAUCAUGCCCCUUAUGUCUUGGGCUUCACGCAUGCUACAAUGGCCGGUACAAAGGGCUGCGAUACCGCAAGGUGGAGCGAAUCCCAAAAAGCCGGUCUCAGUUCGGAUUGAGGUCUGCAACUCGACCUCAUGAAGUCGGAGUCGCUAGUAAUCGCAGAUCAGCAACGCUGC